rnacentral:rRNA from 1 species
UACGUAGGGUGCAAGCGUUAAUCGGAAUUACUGGGCGUAAAGCGUGCGCAGGCGGUUUUGUAAGUCAGAUGUGAAAUCCCCGGGCUUAACCUGGGAACUGCGUUUGAAACUACAAGGCUAGAGUGUGGUAGAGGGGGGUGGAAUUCCACGUGUAGCAGUGAAAUGCGUAGAGAUGUGGAGGAACACCGAUGGCGAAGGCAGCCCCCUGGGUUAACACUGACGCUCAGGCACGAAAGCUAGGGGAGCAAACAGG